GCCCCGAUGGUGGAAUGGUAGACGCGGUGGACUCAAAAUCCACUGUCCUUACGGACAUGGGAGUUCAAGUCUCUCUCGGGGCA
rnacentral:tRNA from 1 species